GGCCUGUUGAAUUUAAACAUUUUUCCCCUUUCACGGCUGAAACACGGGUUCGAUUCCCGUAGGGGUCACCA
rnacentral:tRNA from 1 species